rnacentral:misc_RNA from 1 species
GAUGAAGAACGCAGCGAAAUGCGAUAAGUAAUGUGAAUUGCAGAAUUCAGUGAAUCAUCGAAUCUUUGAACGCAUAUUGCGCCCCUUGGUAUUCCAAAGGGCAUGCCUGUUCGAGCGUCAUUUGUACCUUCAAGCUUUGCUUGGUGUUGGGUGUUUGUCUCGCCUUUGCGUGUAGACUCGCCUUAAAAUAAUUGGCAGCCGGCGUAUUGAUUUCGGAGCGCAGUACAUCUCGCGCUUUGCACUCAUAACGACAGCGUCCAAAAGUACAUUUUACACUCUUGACCUCGGAUCAGGUAGGGAUACCCGCUGAACUUAAGCAUAUCAAUAAGCGGAGGA